UACGGGGGGAGCAAGCGUUGUUCGGAAUUACUGGGCGUAAAGCGCGUGUAGGCGGUUGUCCAAGUUGGAUGUGAAAGCCUUGAGCUUAUCUCAAGAAAUGCAUUCAGGACUGGAUGGCUAGAGGACCGGAGAGGAUAGUGGAAUUCCCAGUGUAGUGGUGAAAUACGUAGAGAUUGGGAAGAACACCAGUGGCGAAGGCGGCUAUCUGGACGGUUUCUGACGCUAAGACGCGAAAGCGUGGGGAGCAAACAGG
rnacentral:rRNA from 1 species